UACCAACUUUCUAGCUUGGGCUCUCAUCUUCAUGCACCUGGAAAGUCAUAAUAGCUUCCUCACUAGUCUUCCUGCCACCAGACUGUCCCCCCUCCCUAUACCCUUUCUCCACACCAAACCCAGAGUUAUUAUUAUCUAAAAUCCAAACCUAAUCAUCUCACUCGCCAUUCCCCAACUGCCCACUUAUGUCCUUCUGUGACUUCUCACUGCCUCAGAAUCCAGUCAGAGUCCUUGCAGUUCCUCCAGGAUCCAGCCAAGAUAUAUCCCUUUGGUCUCACCUCCAGGACCUUUUUAUCUUACAGCUGGCAUCUGUGACUGGACACUGUGGAUACUCUAGUGGAUAAGGUAGACAGGACCCUGCCUUAUGGACUUUACAUUUUAGUGAGGUGACUUCCAAACCAUGGCUCAAGGUGGUUGCUUGAACUCCAUCUGUUAUACCUACAUCCCAGUCAUCAAAAGGAAACAGGAGAGAAGGGCAUUCCCAGGUGAGGGAGAAGCAUAGAUGAAAUUGUGGAAUGGAGAGGCAUAGCUUGACCAAUGAAGGGCAGGAGGCUCCAUGGGGCAGCAGCAUGGAAGGGGAUAGAGUGAAAGGUGAGAGACAGAGACAGAGCAUGAGCAAGGGAGGGACAGAGAGAGAGGGAGACACAGAAUCCAAACUAGACUCCAGGUUCUGAGCUGUCAGCAUAGAGCCCGAAGUGGGGCUGGAACCUGUGAACCACGAGAUCAUGACCUGAGCCGAAGUUGCACACUCAACCAACUGAGCCACCCAGGACAUCUUUUCGUAACCAUCAAGUUUUGAAGGAUGUGGCAAAGCUCAAGGUCCAGAUGGUAGCGGGAUUUCAAGACCCCAGUGGGAGGCAAAGAUGAUGAAGAAUAAAGAGGCACAGGUCUGUGCACAGUCCUGCUACUUCACUGGGGUGGGGGAGAGAUGAAGGGUCACUGGGAACUUGUUUACUUAAAAAGAGCUUUUUUAAAUGUCUAUUUAUUUAUUUUGAGAGAGAAAAAGGAUGUGUGCCUGCGGGGGAGGGGCAGAGAGAGGGAGACAGAAUCCAAAGCAGGCUCCCGGCUCUGAGCUGUCACCACAGAGCCCAAUGCGGGGCUCGAACCCACAAACCGUGGGAUCAUGACCUGAGCUGAAGUCGGACACUUAACCAACCGAGCCACCCAAGCGGCCCAAAAGAUUUUUUAAAAAAGAGACAGCCCUUAGUUAACAUAAGAUAAGAGAGAAAGCAACAGAAUUCAUUUUAAGAAAUAAAGUUCUAGUCUCAGGUCAGCCUCUAACUUGAAAUGUGACCUCAGUCAAGCCAUUCAUUUUCCUACAGUUUCCUUUCAGAACUAUUCUUUAAUAGGAAUAUAUAAUUGUUAAAUUAUAUACAAUUGACAAAAACAAAAUAUUGCAUCAAAGCACUUAAACAAGUUUAAAAUCUCGUUCAGAUUUAAUGAAGUGAUUUUUAAUGAAGUGCAUGUCUAGAAAGGUAGAAGGGAAAUUUCAUCAAUAAAGGUUGAGGUCUAGCCAAUUGUUGUCCAUUUUUCAUGAAAAGAAAACACUCUAGUAUAUAUUGGAGACACUAGCACCUAACCGAAUAUACCUUGAAAACGGA